rnacentral:rRNA from 1 species
CGGGUCUUGACAUCCAAUGAACUUUCCAGAGAUGGAUUGGUGCCUUCGGGAGCAUUGAGACAGGUGCUGCAUGGCUGUCGUCGGCUCGUGUCGUGAGAUGUUGGGUUAAGUCCCGCAACGAGCGCAACCCUUAUCCUUUGUUGCCAGCGGUCCGGCCGGGAACUCUAAGGAGACUGCCAGUGAUAAACUGGAGGAAGGUGGGGAUGACGUCAAGUCAUCAUGGCCCUUACGACCAGGGCUACACACGUGCUACAAUGGCGCAUACAAAGAGAAGCGACCUCGCGAGAGCAAGCGGACCUCAUAAAGUGCGUCGUAGUCCGGAUUGGAGUCUGCAACUCGACCCCAUGAAGUCGGAAUCGCUAGUAAUCGUGGAUCAGAAUGCCACGGUGAAUACGUUCCC